rnacentral:tRNA from 1 species
CGGGGCGUGGCGCAGUUUGGCUAGCGCGCACCGUUCGGGUCGGUGAGGUCCACAGUUCAAAUCUGUGCGCCCCGA